GACGAACGCUGGCGGCGUGCCUAAUACAUGCGAGUCGAGCGCAGGAAAUCGACGGAACCCUUCGGGGGGAAGUCGACGGAAUGAGCGGCGGACGGGUGAGUAACACGUAAAGAACCUGCCCUCAGGUCUGGGAUAACCACGAGAAAUCGGGGCUAAUACCGGAUGGGUCAUCGGACCGCAGGGUCCGAGGAUGAAAGGCGCUUCGGCGUCGCCUGGGGAUGGCUUUGCGGUGCAUUAGCUAGUUGGUGGGGUAAUGGCCCACCAAGGCGACGAUGCAUAGCCGACCUGAGAGGGUGAUCGGCCACACUGGGACUGAGACACGGCCCAGACUCCUACGGGAGGCAGCAGUAGGGAAUCUUCCACAAUGGACGAAAGUCUGAUGGAGCAACGCCGCGUGAACGAUGAAGGCCUUCGGGACGUAAAGUUCUGUUGUAAGGGAAGAACAAGUGCCGCAGGCAAUGGCGGCACCUUGACGGUACCUUGCGAGAAAGCCACGGCUAACUACGUGCCAGCAGCCGCAGUAAGAC
rnacentral:rRNA from 1 species